UACGAAGGGUGCAAACGUUGCUCGGAAUUAUUGGGCGUAAAGCGCACGUAGGCGGCUUAGCAAGUCGGAUGUGAAAUCCCUCGGCUCAACCAAGGAAGUGCAUCCGAAACUGCUGAGCUUGAGUACGAAAGAGGAUCGCGGAAUUCCCGGUGUAGAGGUGAAAUUCGUAGAUAUCGGGAGGAACACCGGUGGCGAAGGCGGCGACCUGGGUAGAUACUGACGCUGAGGCGCGAAAGCUAGGGGAGCAAACGGG
rnacentral:rRNA from 1 species